UAAAAUGUUUUUGAAGGAAGCAGUGUUUGCAUUUACAGGCUUGUGGAAGUUUAUUGUGCCAUUUCACACCCACUUAGAAUCAUGUUUGGUGUUCUAGGAAUGGACCCAGAGCAUUGACUCCAGAGGAACCUGGUACAUGGCCACCUGUACUACAGGCCCCAGAACUACUGGGAGAGGUCAGCCUGUGGUAGCUGCAGGAAAGCCCUUGCCUCUCGGUGAGGCAGAUGGCUUGCCAGCAUCACAUGCUUGCUGGCUGGGGCAGAGCCAGAAGUCACACAUUGCCAGAUCUGGUGAAUAAGGUGCAGGAGGCCAUACCACCAUGUUUUUAUGAGCCUGCCUGUCCAAUUGGAUGGCACUCGGCAGCAAUAUUCACUGUCUUUUUCAUCACACCUUGUAAAGAUACUUAUGAAAGAAGACUUCCAAAAGUGCUUCAGAAAGAGGCAAGUAUGAUGGGAUUAGUGUGUUAG
rnacentral:lncRNA from 1 species